CAGUCGCCGCGGUAAUACGUAGGGUGCAAGCGUUGUCCGGAAUCAUUGGGCGUAAAGCGCGCGUAGGUGGCCAUUUAAGUCCGCUGUGAAAGUCAAAGGCUCAACCUUUGAAAGCCGGUGGAUACUGGAUGGCUAGAGUACGGAAGAGGCGAGUGGAAUUCCUGGUGUAGCGGUGGAAUGCGCAGAUAUCAGGAGGAACACCAAUAGCGAAGGCAGCUCGCUGGGACGUUACUGACACUAAGGCGCGAAAGCGUGGGGAGCGAACAGGAUUAGAUACCCCAGUAGUCCUGUCUCUUAUACA
rnacentral:rRNA from 1 species